GCUGAGAAUGCUAUGGAAAAUCUUGUGAAUUUUAUCAGUCCCAUAUCCACCUGAAUCAUAACUCUCUAAAGCUUAGGGUUUAUUUUUAUAUAAUAACAUUUGCUUGCAUGUUUGACUUCUAUUAAUUUAUACCUUUCCUUUCAGUUACUUUUAGCAAGUUUCCUGGAUUGUGUUUCAUUAUAGCUAUUUGUAGAAUUACCUUCUGUUGCAUUUAUUUUCAUUAUUUUUCCCUUUGCCUGGAUGAAUGUCUUUUGUCUACAUCUAAUCCAGUAAUAUACAAAGACAACAUUUCUAGGC
rnacentral:lncRNA from 1 species